GGUAGGCUAGGAAAGAAAACACGGGUGGAAUAAAAAAACCUUAUUGCUAGUGUCGCCGACGGCCGACGACAGCGGGGAUGCGGACCACCCACGACGACGACAGCACGCCGCCCACGAGCUCGAUUCGUUAGGGGUAGGAUUGGAAGUAAAGACGAGUAGAAUAAAAAAAAACUUAUCUUUUCUUGCUGGCGCUGCCGACAACCAACGGCAGCGGGGAUGCGGGCCGCCCACGACGACGAUGACAGCGCGCCGCCCACAAGCUCGACGCCGCAGCUGCCACACCAUCAACAGUCGCUCGGAUCGACGGCAACCGCGAGCGGGGAUGUGGCCGGCGCGACGAGCUCCAAAUUGACGGCGACCGUGACCAUGACAAUGACGACAGCGGCUGCCCGCGAGCUCCCCGCGCGCCGAUGGCAGCCGCCGC
rnacentral:lncRNA from 1 species